UGCAAGUCGUGCGGACAUGAUCGCAGAGCUUGCUCCCUGAUGUUAGCGGCGGACGGGUGAGUAACACGUGGGUAACCUGCCUGUAAGACUGGGAUAACUCCGGGAAACCGGGGCUAAUACCGGAUGGUUGUUUGAACCGCAUGGUUCAGACAUAAAAGGUGGCUUCGGCUACCACUUACAGAUGGACCCGCGGCGCAUUAGCUAGUUGGUGAGGUAACGGCUCACCAAGGCGACGAUGCGUAGCCGACCUGAGAGGGUGAUCGGCCACACUGGGACUGAGACACGGCCCAGACUCCUACGGGAGGCAGCAGUAGGGAAUCUUCCGCAAUGGACGAAAGUCUGACGGAGCAACGCCGCGUGAGUGAUGAAGGUUUUCGGAUCGUAAAGCUCUGUUGUUAGGGAAGAACAAGUGCCGUUCAAAUAGGGCGGCACCUUGACGGUACCUAACCAGAAAGCCACGGCUAACUACGUGCCAGCAGCCGCGGUAAUACGUAGGUGGCAAGCGUUGUCCGGAAUUAUUGGGCGUAAAGGGCUCGCAGGCGGUUUCUUAAGUCUGAUGUGAAAGCCCCCGGCUCAACCGGGGAGGGUCAUUGGAAACUGGGGAACUUGAGUGCAGAAGAGGAGAGUGGAAUUCCACGUGUAGCGGUGAAAUGCGUAGAGAUGUGGAGGAACACCAGUGGCGAAGGCGACUCUCUGGUCUGUAACUGACGCUGAGGAGCGAAAGCGUGGGGAGCGAACAGGAUUAGAUACCCUGGUAGUCCACGCCGUAAACGAUGAGUGCUAAGUGUUAGGGGGUUUCCGCCCCUUAGUGCUGCAGCUAACGCAUUAAGCACUCCGCCUGGGGAGUACGGUCGCAAGACUGAAACUCAAAGGAAUUGACGGGGGCCCGCACAAGCGGUGGAGCAUGUGGUUUAAAUUCGAAGCAACGCGAAGAACCUUACCAGGUCUUGACAUCCUCUGACAAUCCUAGAGAUAGGACGUCCCCUUCGGGGG
rnacentral:rRNA from 1 species